UACGUAGGGGGCAAGCGUUGUCCGGAUUUACUGGGCGUAAAGAGCGCGCAGGCGGUCGUUCAAGUCGCGUGUGAAAGCCCCCGGCUCAACUGGGGAGGGUCAUUCGAUACUGAUCGACUCGAAGGCAGGAGAGGGUAGUGGAAUUCCCGGUGUAGUGGUGAAAUGCGUAGAUAUCGGGAGGAACACCAGUGGCGAAGGCGACUACCUGGCCUGUUCUUGACGCUGAGGCGCGAAAGCUAGGGGAGCAAACGGG
rnacentral:rRNA from 1 species